GCUUCGGUGGCCUAGUGGUUAGAGUAUCCACAUCAUAUGGAGGAGGUCAUGGGUUCGAAUCCUGACUGAGUCA